rnacentral:rRNA from 1 species
CCUACGGGAGGCAGCAGUGAGGAAUAUUGGUCAAUGGACGAGAGUCUGAACCAGCCAAGUAGCGUGAAGGAUGACUGCCCUAUGGGUUGUAAACUUCUUUUAUAUGGGAAUAAAAUGUUCCACGUGUGGGAUUUUGUAUGUACCAUAUGAAUAAGGAUCGGCUAACUCCGUGCCAGCAGCCGCGGUAAUACGGAGGAUCCGAGCGUUAUCCGGAUUUAUUGGGUUUAAAGGGAGCGUAGGUGGAUUGUUAAGUCAGUUGUGAAAGUUUGCGGCUCAACCGUAAAAUUGCAGUUGAAACUUGCAGUCUUGAGUACAGUAGAGGUGGGCGGAAUGCGUGGUGUAGCGGUGAAAUGCUUAGAUAUCACGAAGAACUACGAUUGCGAAGGCAGUUCACUGGACUGCAACUGACACUGAGGCUCGAAAGUGUGGGUAUCAAACAGGAUUAGAUAUCCCGGUAGUC